rnacentral:rRNA from 1 species
UACGUAGGGGGCAAGCGUUGUCCGGAAUCAUUGGGCGUAAAGAGCGUGUAGGCGGUCCGGUCAGUCGGUUGUGAAAGUCAAGGGCUCAACCCUUGAAUGCCGGCCGAUACUGCCGGGCUAGAGUCCGGAAGAGGUGAGUGGAAUUCCUGGUGUAGCGGUGAAAUGCGCAGAUAUCAGGAGGAACACCGAUGGCGAAGGCAGCUCACUGGGCAUUAACUGACGCUGAGGAGCGAAAGCAUGGGGAGCGAACAGG